UACGUAGGGUGCAAGCGUUAAUCGGAAUUACUGGGCGUAAAGCGUGCGCAGGCGGUGAUGUAAGACAGGUGUGAAAUCCCCGGGCUUAACCUGGGAACUGCAUUUGUGACUGCAUCGCUGGAGUGCGGCAGAGGGGGAUGGAAUUCCGCGUGUAGCAGUGAAAUGCGUAGAUAUGCGGAGGAACACCGAUGGCGAAGGCACUCUACUGGGCCAUGACUGACACUAAGAGACGAAAGCUAGGGGAGCAAAUGGG
rnacentral:rRNA from 1 species